rnacentral:lncRNA from 1 species
GCCUGGCCGGUCGGGUGGGUGCGGAGGGCGGGCGCGCGCGCGCGCGGGGCCCUGAGCCGGGUCCGAGCGCCCGGUGCGGGCCAUGGAGGGGCUGCGGCGGGGCCUGUCUCGCUGGAAGCGCUACCACAUCAAGGUGCACCUGGCGGACGAGGCGCUGCUGCUGCCGCUCACUGUGCGGCCGCGGGACACGCUCAGCGACCUGCGCGCCCAGCUCGUGGGCCAGGGAGUGAGCUCCUGGAAGCGCACCUUCUACUACAACGCGCGGCGGCUGGACGACCACCAGACGGUGCGCGACGUGCGCCUACAGGACGGCUCGGUGCUGCUGCUCGUCAGCGACCCCAGGUAACCUGGGUUGGAGGAUGUGGAGCCAUGGCCGAGGGGAUCAAGGGUGCUGGCUGAAGGAGCAGGCUGGGAUGGGGAGGGGAAUCUCCUGGGAGCCUUGACCUCACUCAGGGUAAGCCUCUCUAGUACUUGGGACAUGGAAGGGACCCUGGAGAUAAUGGAGACCAUAGAUAGGUAAACUGAGGCCCAGAGACGAAAAGGAACUCUUCUCUCUGAUGACCAUCACCCCUCUCCAUAUUCCUACACUUCUAGACCCUGGGGUAGGGUCACUGGCCUCAUUCUCACUUCCCUUUGAACUAACACGUGGCCCUGAGUAAUGCUGCCCUGACUUGCUGUGUGUCCUUGGGCAAAUUGCUCACGUGCUCUGGGUUCUGUUACUCCUUCUCCUACCAUUGAAAGAGUGGGCUUUGGUUGGCAUGUUUGGUGUAGUUGCACUCUUUGCCUGCAAUUCCUGUGACUGCCACCAGGUGGCUCCAAGUGCCAAGCUACCCUGGCUACCAGGGUGAUGGAAGGGGAGGAGCUGGUGGCAGGUAUUAGGGGAAAGGUAAGAAGGAAGACUGGUCAGAGAGCUGGUCUUUCAUCCUUUUAUUGGGGCCUGGAUUGAAAUUCUCUUAUUCCCUCCCUCCUGCUGUUCCAAGGUUCUGGGCUCCCAGGAUAGAUGCUGAAACACUGGCCUGCCCAGCUGCUGCCCACCACCUGGGACCUUUCUGACGGAGCCCUAGUCCUUGACACCGACUGAGGACAUUGCUGCUCCA